CUACGGGUGGCACCAGUGAGGAAUAUUGCACAAUGGGGGGAACCCUGAUGCAGCAACGCCGCGUGGAGGAUGACGCAUUUCGGUGUGUAAACUCCUUUUAUAUGUCAAGAAAAUGACGGUAGCAUAUGAAUAAGCACCGGCUAACUCCGUGUCAGCAGCCGCGGUAAUACGGAGGGUGCAAGCGUUACUCGGAAUCACUGGGCGUAAAGGACGCGUAGGCGGGUUGGAAAGUCAGGUGUGAAAUCCUACAGCUUAACUGUAGAACUGCACUUGAAACUUCUAAUCUAGAGUAUGGGAGGGGGAGAUGGAAUUAGUGGUGUAGGGGUAAAAUCCGUAGAUAUCACCAGGAAUACCUAAAGCGAAGGCGAUCUCCUGGAACAUUACUGACGCUAAGGCGUGAAAGCGUGGGGAGCAAACAGGAUUAGAUACCCCGGUAGUC
rnacentral:rRNA from 1 species